ACCUUCUAGCAGCACAGCCCGCCAGCCCUCAGUCCUGUUUCCCUGGUCGUGGGCUGAGCAGGCUCUUACUCAGGGGCCCCAGUGCCUGGAUUUUCACAUACGGGUCCAGCGCUGCUCUUGGGGUUCCUGCGGUGGGAGCAUCACAGAAGAGCCAGCGCAGGGUGGGAAGGGGCGGCAAGGAAGGAAGUGGAGGACACACACUGAGAUUUGCUAAUUUUUAGUUUUAAGUUACAUCCGAGCUCCCACCUGGGUGGGUGGGAAAGUAACUCUUGUACAAAUUCUCUGUGAAGGAGGAAGAAAGACCCGUUGAGGACUCAGCACCUAGCCAACUGAGCAUCAGCAUGUUCGACAGCCUCAAACCUGCCCUGCAGGACUUGGGCACGCGGGCGUUGUCUCUGCUGAAGACCUGAAGACACUGAGCCCACAGGAAGUCUUAAGUAUCUGGGAUCAUGAAUCAUCCUAUAUUCUGCGACAGCUAUCCCUACACAUGGCAAGAUUUCAACUUAAAGUUUAAUGCAAGAGUGCACAGGAUCUUUCUUGUUUAGUCUUGUAUAAUUUUGCUGUGAGCAAGAUAGCAGACAUUAGAGCCAUCCAAUUUAACUUUCAGUCCUGUGAUUUUGUGAUGCUCACACUUACGACUUACAGAUAGCAGAUUUAGCAAACAUGGAUUUUAUUCUUAGGUAAUGAAUUUGUAAAUGUUUCUCUAGUGAUGCCAAGCAGAUCACUGACCAACGUGUAGAGGAACUAGAUGAAUUCUGUUGCUCUGUGACCUGAUAGUUUCUGGCAUAGCUCUAGAAGGAUGUAGUGCUUCCUGCCAUGCUUCUUUGCAGGGAAUGGGUUUUGUCUGAAAUAUAAGAAGAUAAGUCAGGACUGAAUUCAUCUUGCCAAAAGUAAGGAUCUUUGCCCAUCCUUGAGUUUGGAUGCCAUGGCACUGGACAGAGAUUUGGGGACUUUGGAGACAGCUGAGAAAUUGCGGGACUUCCAUAUCCUACUCACAGGUCCCAUGAUGACAACCCAUGGGCUGAAUUCAUCCUUCAAACUCAUUUUGUUUGUUCCGAUAAUUUGAAGUCCUCACCAACUAAAAUUGGGAGAGUUUAUAUAAAGUUUUGAGCAAAGAGAAAA